GUCUCAUACCUGUGGAAGCAGAGACUAUUGAAGGACAUUCCCAGGCCAGGGAGUCAGUCCGUGGCCCUUGGGAUGAUUGGGAUCUGGGUGUGCUGAUGCUUCUCAUUGUGAUCUUGGUGGGUGCUGUUCAUGGACACCAGAGGGGCAGAGAAUUGAGAGUGAUGUCAUCCCAUGAAGCUUCACUGCCAGCUGCUCCCUACUGUAUGCUGAGAUCAUUCAGAAACCAGGGCCAUGGACAGGAAAGCCCAGCUCCAUCUGUCUGCCUGUACCUGCAGUCAUGGUCUCUUAAGUUGAACAGGCUGGCCUUGAGUUUGCCAUCCUCUUGCCUCAGCCUCCUGAGUCACUGGGGAUUACAGGCAUGUGCUGUGGUGGCUGGCUCUGGACUUUUCCUUGGUCUUCGUGUUUCUUCCUGUCCCCCCAUCCCCCAUUCAAUAAAAAUUUCCUUUUUUUUUUUAAUGUUGAUGGGCCUUAAUUAUUUUAUUCAUUUA
rnacentral:lncRNA from 1 species